rnacentral:rRNA from 1 species
UACGUAUGGUGCAAGCGUUAUCCGGAUUUACUGGGCGUAAAGGGAGCGCAGGCGGCGCGCCAAGUCUGAUGUGAAACCCCGGGGCUCAACCCCGGGCAUGCAUUGGAAACUGGCGGGCUGGAGUGCCGGAGAGGUAAGCGGAAUUCCUAGUGUAGCGGUGAAAUGCGUAGAUAUUAGGAAGAACACCAGUGGCGAAGGCGGCUUUCUGGACUGAAACUGACGCUGAGGCACGAAAGCGUGGGGAGCGAACAGG